rnacentral:lncRNA from 1 species
GCCAGGACCUGUGGGUCAAGUUCCAGAAGGCAGUGAGCUGGCCACUGGAAUGUGAGUGUGGGUGGGGGUGGGGUGGGGAGUAAGGAAGUGGCCACCGGCUUCCACUGAGUCACAGAAACUCAAGUGAGGAAGGUUCCCAAGGUCCACCCAGGUGUAGCAGGGAGAGCAAGGGCUGGAAGGAGGCAGGCAUUUACCCAGCAGAUCCUGGGAGGCCAAGCAGGCAGUCGCUACAAAUACUGCCCUGUGAAAGCCCCCAGGAGAUGGGAGAUGCAGGAGGCCCUGUGUGUGUGUGUGUGUGUGUGUGUGGUAGGAGGUGUGGGGGUCUUUGUGUGUGAGUGUGUGGUAGGUCUGUGUGGUGUGGGUGUGUAUGUAUGUGGUAUGUGUGAAUGUAUGGUGAGUGUGGUGGGAGUGUGUGUGAUAUGGGUGUAUUAUGUGUAUGUUUGUAGUGUGUGUGUGUGUGUGUGUGUGUGUGUGUGUGUGUGUGUGUAAUUCAGAAAGAUCCAGAGCCCUUGAUGUGGACGAAACAAACAUCACAGGAAGCCAGCAGGACAACAUGCCCAUUAUCUGCCUGUCAUCUGCAUGUGAGGUGCCCAUACCAUUGCAGAAAGGAGCAGAGUGUGGUGAGGAUAAUGGCCUGGUGCAGAGGUACAUCCCUAAGGCAGGCUGACCCAACAUCCAAGAACCUUUGUCUGCUUUUCACUGUUACAGUAGCUAUUUUAACUGCUGUACAGUAGGUGGGUAGCUAAACCUGGCUAGUUGGUGCAUAGACUGUGACCCUAAAUCUGGUAACAGCUAUACAGGGUACAAAGAGACCUGUCCCCGCUGAAGGAAAAUGGAGGGUAUGUACCAUCUGUGGAAAAUUCCAAGUGACAAGUGGCCUUGGGGAGUCAGAACGGACUUUAAACCCACCAGUCUUAGCCUGCAUCUUUUCAGAGUGUUACUCCCUGUGAUUGAUUUGUUUCUUUCAAGCUAGCUGCUCUGCUACAGGGUGACGUUGGAUCACUCUUAGAUUCCCCUUACAGUCUGAUAAUCAGAGGCACCUAUGUAUAGCUAAGCUAGUGGUGUCCCAAAGGAAAUAUCAGGGAGUCAUGAGUCCAGCCACCCAGUUGCCCUGGUGCUGAAAUCUCUGAGUGGAACUUGAGGCGAGAGGAAAGGCAGUCUGAGCCAUCCAAAUAAUUUCCACAAGUUCCUUUGCUAGCGGCAGCAGGUGCCAGUCCACCUGAGGAGGCCGUGUGCCAUGAAAGCCUGAAGCUAUGUCUGCUUCUUCUAGUGUCUCCCAAAAGGCAGGGUUAAUAAAUGUUUGCUGACCGUUUUAUAAAUGUUAUAAAACAUUUUA